CCUACGGGAGGCAGCAGUGGGGAAUUUUGGACAAUGGGGGCAACCCUGAUCCAGCAAUGCCGCGUGAGUGAAGAAGGCCUUCGGGUUGUAAAGCUCUUUUGUCAGGGAAGAAACGGUGUUUCCUAAUACGGAAUGCUAAUGACGGUACCUGAAGAAUAAGCACCGGCUAACUACGUGCCAGCAGCCGCGGUAAUACGUAGGGUGCAAGCGUUAAUCGGAAUUACUGGGCGUAAAGCGUGCGCAGGCGGUUUUAUAAGUCUGAUGUGAAAUCCCCGGGCUCAACCUGGGAACUGCAUUGGAGACUGUAAGGCUAGAGUGUGUCAGAGGGGGGUAGAAUUCCACGUGUAGCAGUGAAAUGCGUAGAUAUGUGGAGGAAUACCGAUGGCGAAGGCAGCCCCCUGGGAUAACACUGACGCUCAUGCACGAAAGCGUGGGGAGCAAACAGGAUUAGAUACCCUGGUAGUCCACGCCCUAAACGAUGUCUACUAGUUGUCGGGUCUUAAUUGACUUGGUAACGCAGCUAACGCGUGAAGUAGACCGCCUGGGGAUACGGUCGCAAGAUUAAAACUUAAUGAAUUGACGG
rnacentral:rRNA from 1 species